AAGUCGAACGGCAGCACGGGAGUAAUCCUGGUGGCGAGUGGCGAACGGGUGAGUAAUACAUCGGAACGUGUCCUGUAGUGGGGGAUAGCCCGGCGAAAGCCGGAUUAAUACCGCAUACGCUCUACGGAGGAAAGGGGGGGAUCUUAGGACCUCUCGCUACAGGGGCGGCCGAUGGCAGAUUAGCUAGUUGGUGGGGUAAAGGCCUACCAAGGCGACGAUCUGUAGCUGGUCUGAGAGGACGACCAGCCACACUGGGACUGAGACACGGCCCAGACUCCUACGGGAGGCAGCAGUGGGGAAUUUUGGACAAUGGGCGCAAGCCUGAUCCAGCAAUGCCGCGUGUGUGAAGAAGGCCUUCGGGUUGUAAAGCACUUUUGUCCGGAAAGAAAACUUCUGCCCUAAUACGGCGGGAGGAUGACGGUACCGGAAGAAUAAGCACCGGCUAACUACGUGCCAGCAGCCGCGGUAAUACGUAGGGUGCAAGCGUUAAUCGGAAUUACUGGGCGUAAAGCGUGCGCAGGCGGUUCGCUAAGACAGAUGUGAAAUCCCCGGGCUUAACCUGGGAACUGCAUUUGUGACUGGCGGGCUAGAGUAUGGCAGAGGGGGGUAGAAUUCCACGUGUAGCAGUGAAAUGCGUAGAGAUGUGGAGGAAUACCGAUGGCGAAGGCAGCCCCCUGGGCCAAUACUGACGCUCAUGCACGAAAGCGUGGGGGAGCAAACAGGAUUAGAUACCCUGGUAGUCCACGCCCUAAACGAUGUCAACUAGUUGUCGGGUCUUCAUUGACUUGGUAACGUAGCUAACGCGUGAAGUUGACCGCCUGGGGAGUACGGUCGCAAGAUUAAAACUCAUGA
rnacentral:rRNA from 1 species